GACGAACGCUGGCGGCGUGCCUAAUACAUGCAAGUUGAGCGCUGAAGGUUGGUACUUGUACCGACUGGAUGAGCAGCGAACGGGUGAGUAACGCGUGGGGAAUCUGCCUUUGAGCGGGGGACAACAUUUGGAAACGAAUGCUAAUACCGCAUAAAAACUUUAAACACAAGUUUUAAGUUUGAAAGAUGCAAUUGCAUCACUCAAAGAUGAUCCCGCGUUGUAUUAGCUAGUUGGUGAGGUAAAGGCUCACCAAGGCGAUGAUACAUAGCCGACCUGAGAGGGUGAUCGGCCACAUUGGGACUGAGACACGGCCCAAACUCCUACGGGAGGCAGCAGUAGGGAAUCUUCGGCAAUGGACGAAAGUCUGACCGAGCAACGCUGCGUGAGUGAAGAAGGGUUUCGGAUCGUAAAACUCUGUUGGUAGAGAAGAACGUUGGUGAGAGUGGAAAGCUCAUCAAGUGACGGUAACUACCCAGAAAGGGACGGCUAACUACGUG
rnacentral:rRNA from 1 species